GGUCUAUGCCGUCUGGGCAGGAAUCCUCAUGCCGGGUUUUCGCCGAGUGCCGCUCAGAUUACAGGUGCCUUAUAUGCCAGCGAGCAGAGCUCAAGUGAGUACGUCAUGACUCUCCUGAAGGGCCGAUCUGGAGGCGUCGCUGACCUGGGCUCAGGGGACGGCAGGAUUGUGUUAGAAGCGUGCUCUCGGGGUUUUUC